GGGUCAGUAGGUUGGUCGUGCCACCGGUACGUACUGGUCUCACUGAUUCCUCCUUCCUGAAGAACCGUAAUGCCAUUAAUUUGGUGUUGCGGGGGAACAGGACUGUUACUUUGAAAAAAUUAGAGUGUUUAAAGCAAGCUAACGCUUGAAUACAUUAGCAUGGAAUAAUGAAAUAGGACGAUCGAUCCUAUUUUGUUGGUCUCUAGGAUUGACGUA
rnacentral:rRNA from 1 species